CCUCAAAUCUUGCUGCCAGCAGCAUUAGAGUGAUCCAUAUAAUUACAAAUUAGAUCCAUUUACUGGGGUCUGGUUGCCUAUGCAAGAGCUUGCCUUCCAUAUAUAAACAUAAUUGUGAUAAAUCUGGACUCAACAGCCAUGGGGCAUUCUGAAGAUGAUAUCUAGAGGUUGCCAUGACAACUCCCUAGAAUUCCUGCUGUCUUUUCAUGGUAGAGUUCCUAGCUAAAGCCUGGAAGGUAUCUGAAAUAAAUCAUCAAAAGGUGGGACAGCUGGAAUUGGUCCAUGGAAGAAAUCCAAGUAUGCGGGUUCAUAAGUCCUGUGAAGCAAGAGGAGACUUUUCUCUGAUAUUCAUUGUGAGAUCCUGGUUGAACUCCUACAGGUCUGGUUUCCACAAAACCUCUCCAUGGGCUUCCUAGCCUCCAACUGCAAUCCCCCAAUCCACUGAACCAUGAUCUCCAUCACAUGGCUUCCAAGAAACUUCCCUUCCUCUUGGUGUAGCUGGAAGCUCUCUGCCUGACUCAUCCUCUCACCAGUAUGCUGGGGCCACCUAGAGCAAGGGCAACAACCUCUUGCUGUCCCCUAUGUGUCUUUACAGGCCAAAGGCAAGUGCGUAACCCCUUCUGAGGGAGACCUCUGGACCUGAGCAUUCUCAAGUCAAACAAGAGACUGGAUAUGAUUCAACACUUUUUGUCCAUUGGACAAUUAAUGUGUACCAAUGUCAUCAGUCCAAUAAAAGCAGAUGGGGAGUGCGGCAAGCUUUUGCCCAAUAAGAGGAAAUGAAACAUAUCCACAUGCUUCAAGGAAAUGUCAAAAUGGGCCAUUUACCUCAGGUUUUGGGAUCAUUUGAAGUUCUUUAACAUUUCUGCCUUUCAAGAGAAAAUUGCCAUAUAUAUCACCUCACAUCCUUUGACCCAAAUCAUCGAGUCUUUUCAUUUUUAAAGUAUAAUUUCUACAAAACUAAUGGCAAUGAUCAGAACAUCAUCAAUUUCAUGAUGUCAGAGAAUUAUUCCUAUAUACUUCCUUAAUAUCAGAUCCUCGGAAAUUUAAAAUAUUGUCUUGCCAUCGAAAGGCAAAAUUAAGAAACACAGAGCCAACCUUUAUGGUCCUGCAGACUGGCCUUGCGCAAAGGUCACUGAGAAGGGGACGGCUGAGCACCAAGAGGUGCUCAGGAUGCCAGCAAGUGGAUCCAUGAUGGAACAUGGGAAGCUCAGCCCAGGCAGAGGAGUGACAUCUUUCUGGAGGGUCCUGAGAAACUUCUAAACAUGACAUUCGCCAGACAACCAGGUGGCAAAUCAUAAGCCAGCACAAAAAGAGAGGAGGAAAAUCAUAGGCGUGGAAAGAACUGAGGAUCAACAAGGACCUUCGGGGUGGUUACGAAAGCCUCAGAAAGAAAAGAUGACUGUGACAAACUAUGAACUAUACUACAUGAUAAAUUCCUGUGGAUGGACCGAAAACUCGUUUCCUUAUAAUGAAGAUACUGGGGAAACAAACAAACAAACAUAUACUGUAUCUACUUUAGGGUCAAAUCAGUUUAAACGUUAGAUUGGAAAGAAAAAUACAACGUCCUCAAAGCUUUGAUGUCUUUGGGUGGUCUUUAAUAGAUAGUGAUAACUUAAUUUGCAGAAUGGAGAAUAUUUUAAAAAAAAAUCUGGUUAAGAAUAAUACCACUUGUACUAAAUGCUUCCCAUUUGUGGCAUUAAUUUACUCUGUAUCUCUUGAUUUCCACAAAGACCUGUGAAAUUCAGUUCUAUUUUGGUAGUCCUGUCUGGCAUUUAUUGACUUGGCAAGCGUGUCCAAUCAAUAAACAGCAAAAAAAUAAAAAAAUAAAAAUAAAAAAAAAUAAAAUGUCCUUCUUUCUAGGAUAGAAGGUAGUAGAAGGAGACACGUGGUGGCUUCCCGUUCUGGGAUGGGAGCAGGUGAAAAGUUAGGGAGCAAACUAUCUGAAAACAAACACGAAUCCCACCAAUCUGCAAACAUUCUAAUAUGCUUUAGAAACUAUCAUCUUUUCCGCAUA